CCUACGGGGGGCUGCAGUGAGGAAUAUUGCACAAUGGGCGAAAGCCUGAUGCAGCGACGCCGCGUGGAGGUUGAAGGUCUUCGGAUUGUAAACUUCUGUUAAGUGGAAAGAAAAACCUGUCUCUAAUACAGACGGGUUAUGACGGUACCAUUAGAGAAAGCACCGGCUAACUUCGUGCCAGCAGCCGCGGUAAUACGAAGGGUGCAAGCGUUAUUCGGAAUUAUUGGGUGUAAAGGGUGCGUAGACGGUAUGCUAAGUCCGCUGUUAAAUUUUCCGGCCUAACCGGAAAUCUGCAGUAGAAACUGGCGUGCUAGAGGUUGGAAGAGAGAAGUGGAAUUCUCGGAGUAGCGGUAAAAUGCGUAGAUCUCGAGAGGAACACCAAUGGCGAAGGCAGCUUCUUGGUCCAUACCUGACGUUGAUGCACGAAAGCGUGGGGAGCAAACAGGAUUAGAUACCCUAGUAGUCG
rnacentral:rRNA from 1 species